AGUGAACGCUGGCGGUAGGCCUAACACAUGCAAGUCGAACGGCAGCACAGUAAGAGCUUGCUCUUACGGGUGGCGAGUGGCGGACGGGUGAGGAAUACAUCGGAAUCUACUUUUUCGUGGGGGAUAACGUAGGGAAACUUACGCUAAUACCGCAUACGACCUACGGGUGAAAGCAGGGGAUCUUCGGACCUUGCGCGAUUGAAUGAGCCGAUGUCGGAUUAGCUAGUUGGCGGGGUAAAGGCCCACCAAGGCGACGAUCCGUAGCUGGUCUGAGAGGAUGAGCAGCCACAGUGGAACGGAGACACGGUCAAGACUCCGACGGGAGGCAGCAGGGGGGAAUAUGGGACGAUGGGCGCAAGCCUGAUCCAGCCAUACCGCGGGGGUGAAGAAGGCCUGCGGGUUGUAAAGCCCUUUUGUUGGGAAAGAAAAGCAGCAGGUUAAUACCCCGCUGUUCUGACGGUACCCAAAGAAUAAGCACCGGCUAACUUC
rnacentral:rRNA from 1 species